CCUACGGGGGGCAGCAGUGGUGAAUAUUGGACAAUGGGGGCAACCCUGAUCCAGCCAUGCCGCGUGUGUGAAGAAGGCCCUCGGGUUGUAAAGCACUUUCAGUGAGGAAGAACGCCUGGUGGUUAAUACCCAUCAGGAAAGACAUCACUCACAGAAGAAGCACCGGCUAACUCCGUGCCAGCAGCCGCGGUAAUACGGAGGGUGCGAGCGUUAAUCGGAAUUACUGGGCGUAAAGCGCGCGUAGGUGGCUUGAUAAGCCGGUUGUGAAAGCCCCGGGCUCAACCUGGGAACGGCAUCCGGAACUGUCAAGCUAGAGUGCAGGAGAGGAAGGUAGAAUUCCCGGUGUAGCGGUGAAAUGCGUAGAGAUCGGGAGGAAUACCAGUGGCGAAGGCGGCCUUCUGGACUGACACUGACACUGAGGUGCGAAAGCGUGGGUAGCAAACAGGAUUAGAUACCCCAGUAGUC
rnacentral:rRNA from 1 species